GACGAACGCUGGCGGCGUGCUUAACACAUGCAAGUCGAACGGUGAAGCGCCUUCCUUUUUGGUGGGUGUGGAUGAGUGGCGAACGGGUGAGUAACACGUGAGUAACCUGCCCCCUUCUUCUGGAUAACCGCAUGAAAGUGUGGCUAAUACGGGAUAUUCUGGGUCUGUCGCAUGAUGGGUCUGGGAAAGAUAUUGUUUCGGUGGGGGAUGGGCUCGCGGCCUAUCAGCUUGUUGGUGGGGUGAUGGCCUACCAAGGCGGUGACGGGUAGCCGGCCUGAGAGGGUGGACGGUCCCACUGGGACUGAGACACGGCCCAGACUCCUACGGGAGGCAGCAGUGGGGAAUAUUGCACAAUGGGCGCAAGCCUGAUGCAGCGCCGCCGCGUGAGGGAUGGAGGCCUUCGGGUUGUGAACCUCUUUCGCCAGUGAAGCAGGCCUGCCUCGUUUGUGGGUGGGUUGACGGUAGCUGGAUAAGAAGCGCCGGCUAACUACGUG
rnacentral:rRNA from 1 species